AGAGGAAGUAAAAGUCGUAACAAGGUUUCCGUAGGUGAACCUGCGGAAGGAUCAUUCAUAAUAAGUGUUUUAUGGCACUUUUUAAAUCCAUAUCCACCUUGUGUGCAAUGUCAGUCGAUCUUCUUCAUGGAGAUCGACCAAACAUCAACCUUUAUUUUUUAACUCUUUGUCUGAAAAAUAUUAUGAAUAAACAAUUCAAAAUACAACUUUCAACAACGGAUCUCUUGGCUCUCGCAUCGAUGAAGAACGCAGCGAAAUGCGAUACGUAAUGUGAAUUGCAGAAUUCAGUGAAUCAUCGAAUCUUUGAACGCAUAUUGCGCUCUUUGGUAUUCCGAAGAGCAUGCUUGUUUGAGUAUCAGUAAACACCUCAAAGCUUUUGGAUUUUUUAAUCGAAAAGCUUUGGACUUGAGCAAUCCCAACACCAAUCUUUUUGAGAUCGGUGGCGGGUUGCUUGAAAUGCAGGUGCAGCUGGACAUUCUCCUGAGCUAAAAGCAUAUUCAUUUAGUCCCGUCAAACGGAUUAUUACUUUUGCUGCAGCUAACAUAAAGGGAGUUUGACCGUAUUGGCUGACUGAUGCAGGAUUUCACAAGGGUCGGCAACGAUUCUUGUUAAACUCGAUCUCAAAUCAAGUAAGACUACCCGCUGAACUUAAGCAUAUCAAUAG
rnacentral:rRNA from 1 species